AUGCUCACUUCGACGGCACAUUUACUGAAAUUGAAAAGAUACAGAGAUUAGCAUGGCCCCUGCACAAAGAUGACAUGUAGAUUUGUGAAGCAUGCCACAUGGAA